ensembl:lincRNA
CUCCAGCUCGGGCUAGUUGGCGCAGCGCCCGCUCCCCUCCCCGUUUGGCGCGGGACGCUGAGAAGACUCUUUUAGUUGUGCUGUUUUUCUAUUUCAUGUGUUAUUCCUCCCGACUGCAAUGGAAACUAGGCAAAUGCGUAUCCAAGUGUCGCUGCCACCAAAAAGAAACCAAGAUUAACAGAUGUAUAUUUUAAGUCCACGCUGGCAGCCGCUGGAGGUGUGGCAAGUGUUAUUGGUGCAGUCUCAUGAAGAACUGAGUUGGUUCAAGCCAGCAAGCAGACUUUGCAGACCAGCUUCACAGGCCAGAAUGUGAUUAGUCUGUGAACAAAUACUUUUUUUUUUUUUAAUAAAAUUGUAUCCUUUCCUUCCACUCCCUAACCUACUAGAACAGAAUCUUCUUAAGCAUUGUUAAAACAAUACUCUGAAGAAGGAGAGAUCUCUGAAAUAAAAGGUUUUAUUGAGUCAUUACAGAUGCUAGCCAAAAAGAAAGGACCAAUCCUGGGACAAGCUCCCUCAGCCACCCACAGCUAGGCCAGGUAGUGGAGCCAGAAUUAGUGUAGAUUAGGUAAAUGGAGUCAGGUGGGAUCAAGGAAGCCAAUUUUGAGUGAGUCCCAAAUCGGAGGCUGUUCCCUGAGGAAUUGAAAUAUUAAUUCCUUUAGAGCCCUUCCUCCAACUUUAUCAAGAACCUGCCCUAGCUCACCUGUUGCUAAGGUAACCUGUCCCAGGAGUUGCCCUUCUCUACAGGGAGCUAUUGUUAAUUAACAUGUCUUGGGCUGCUCCAUCCUGCCCUUCCUCCUUCAGCCCACCUGUUUCCCACCUUUUGACCAUCCCACGGAGCAUUUUCUAGGCCUAGUCACAUAUGCAAGAAGGAGAAAGAGGAAGAGAGCCGAACAAAGGAAGCCUAGGACUUAUAAAAAGGGCAGAACGCCUCACGUUGUGGGAUACCUGAAUACCAGCUAUAGCCUCCUUCCCUCUCCUGGGAGAAGUCUGUUACCCCUAUUAAAUAAACCCUCCUU